GCCUUCCUUAUUUUGGGGUACACAUCAGAAACAUCAAAGCAACCAAGGAAGAACAUAACAAUGUGAAAUCAUUAGGCUAACAAGUAACAAUAUUAAUCCCCAGCCUCAGAUCCCAAGGGCUUACCCCUCAUUUCCCCAGUAGACAACUAAUUGUUUCAAGACCGCUUGUCUUAGACCAAUUUUCUUCAUGACAAAGUUUUGAUUCACCUCAACAUAUGCAUGCUUCCACUUCUCUAUAUUAUUUUAAGGCAAUGUUGAGACAAUAAAAGUUUUUUUUUAGGCACCAAAAAUUCAUCAAGAUUAAUAAACAUUAGGCAUAAAAGUCAUGGACAAAACCAAAAUGGGUUUUCUCACCUGCAAUAAACUCAUGGACCAUUCCAUUGAAUGAAACUGAGCUGCAACCCCGUGCCUUGUCCACUCCUUUGCUUUCAUCACCUUCCUUAAUCUUUCAACAUCAUCAUAUUUCCCAGCAGCUGCAUAUAGGUUUGCAAGCAUAGUAUAAGCCUCGCUAUGGCUUUGUAACUUCACGAGUCUCUCAGCAGCAGCCUCAGAUAACUGCAUUUGUCCAUGGUCUCAGGAUGCCCUCAGCAACAUUCUCCAUGCCACUGCUUCCUCUGAAGGGUAGCUUGAAUCAGGUAUUCGUAUAAUUAUUUCUUUUGCUGAAAUGCCCAGUUGUGGAAAGCAGGUUGACUAAACCGUAAACACCCAUGGUUAGGUUGGAUACUAUAUACAUUGCACAUUCUAUCUAAUACCUUUAAACCCUCAGAGACCAUGCCAGAAUAACUACGGGCAGAAAGAAGGGCAAUGAAUGAGAUAUCAUCAGCGUCCUACAUCUCCUAAAACAACUUGGGUGCACUCUCUCCAUCUUCAUGCAUUGCCAUCCCAGAAAUCAUUGCGUUCCAGCAAAUAGCAUCUCUUUGUGACAUACCAUCAGACAUGGCCUCAUCGGGCUUUAUAUCAGUUGAUUGCAUCAUCAAACGGAACAUAUACAAACCCUCCUUGAGACAAUUAUUUGGCACAUAUCCAGAGACUAUGGCUCCCCAUAUCCCUCUAUCCUUAACUGGUGCCACAUCAAAGAAUUGCAUUGUCGACAUCACCCUCUUUUGCAUAUCCAGAGAUCAUAAUUGUCCACGACACAGCACUUAACCUCAGAAUUUCAUCAAACACGUACCGUGCAUGCCUCAUUUUGUUAAACCCACAGUGCAUGAUGAUAAAAGAAUUACCCACAAAAAAUAAAACACGAAGCCCAAUUUCAAGACAUGCUAAUGUACUGAUUCUCCCACACAAUAAGUUUGUAGUCUCGCACAGAUCUUCAACAAAUAAGGCAAAGUAUAAUUGUCAGGGUACAUGCCAUUUUGUAACAUGUUUAAGUAUACAAGAAUAGAGUUUGUGAGUUGAUUUCUUAGGGAAAAAGCUUAGAUCAUGUUGUUGCAUAUGCAAAUGGUGAGGUUUGGGAUGUGUUGGAAGACCUUAUAUGCGUGGUUAAUGCUUCCAUGAUGCGGGUCAGCGCAGAAGCCUAAAGCUACAAUUCUUAAGGCAAAGCUUAAGCUGUUUAUGCCAGCGAGAUGCCCUAGACACUGGUCGGUCGGGGAUAGGAGAAACUUCAGUGUCGCCACCACAUUUUCAGGCCUGGAAGCCAAUAUCACACGACACGAACACAUGAAAACAAAAUCUCUCCAUCAUCCUUUUUCGGAUUGAGAAUUCACCAAAUCACCAUCUUGAAAUGCAUGUGACUAACCUGAUGAAGAAGAUUACUCCUCUCUGUGAAUUGUGUAUGCAGGGACAGAGGACCCAUCAAACCCUAGUAGUGACAUGGGACUUUCCUCCACUGCACUGCAUCGACAAGCCAAAGAAUUGCAGUUGUAGGCUUUUAGCAAUGAAGUGUUUGGUGCUUAUACAAAUGAAACCAUGCUCUCUCAUUCCCCUUUAAUUAUAGGCAACGAGAAUAACUAAAACAAGUCCACCUUGUUACAGUCGUCAAUGGCAAACUCAGAUGAAAGAGAUUACGUACCUAGGAUGCAAUUCAAACCAUUCUCUUUAUCACCAUUUAGUCUCAAGAACAACAUCAAUCUCUAGAUAGAAAAAUGGGUGUCCAGUAUAGUCAGAGAGAGUGUGAUAUUUGUGAUUGAUGCAAACAGGAGUAAAGGUAGCGUGGAUGCAGUUGAUUGGGCUCUGAAGCAUGUGAGAUUGGAAGGAAAAAUUCUUGCUUUCCACUAAUUAUGGGAAUUAGUAUUGCUGAAUAUGGGACAGAUUGGAGUUUCCAGGACAAGGUGAAGUGAGGCCGAAAUAGCUCGGGAAGGAAAUGAGAGAAAUAAAGAACAGUACCAGAGUAACCUCUAGCCCUUCUACAGACAGUGCAUAAAGAAUGAGGUGAAGUUAGAAGUUAAACUUGCUGCUGGAUUUUGUCCAGAUAAAAUCACAGUUGAACAAGCUCAAAGAUCUAAUCCGCGCUGGAUUGUUUUAGACAGUCACUUGAAGAGGUACAAGUUAGUCAUAUAUGGGCAUGUAGGAUGCAACAUUGCAGUAAUGAAAGGAAAAGACAUUGCAACCUGGCUGUCAUCAAAAGCUCGGAAGAUUGAACCGUCCCCACGAAAUUCGAGAAGAAAUUAGGAGGCUGGUUGCAGUAAUCUUCAAGAAAAAUGAAGAUUCCAAUACUGAAGUUCAGGAAUCUACACAAAUCAGUGCGUCCUCGAAGUCCAUGCUGGAAUCCUCUGUCAUGGAGAAGUGGCUUUCCUCGAGUAUUUACUCAAACUGAACUUGAGAAAUAUAACAAAAGGCUUUUUUGAAGAGAGUUUUAUUCAAGAAUCAUAUGAUUUAAUGGU